AAUGUUGAAUUAUUAAUAGUUUAGCAAUAUAAAUAAUUGUUGGCUUGCCAACUAUAACGAUAAACGAAAUUCGUAAUAAACAUUGCGGACGUGGGGGCAGUACCCACCACCUCCACCAUUAAUAUUCGGGGGUGAAUUAGGCUCGACGGAUGUCUAAAAGCUUUUCUUUCGUUCGAGAUAGUUCCGACGUAACGGGCUAAUUAUAAAUGCAAAUAAUAAAUUUGCACUUGCUGCUUAAUUAACUUGUUAAU
rnacentral:tmRNA from 2 species